AGUUCCUUCGAUACGCAUAGCAACGAUCCCACUGGGGACAAACAAAAGUAGCGUCGUCUCCACCGAACCAGUUGUCAGUGGCAACAUAUAGGAAUCGUGUACAUUUCUUCGUUUCUUCUUUGCUGUUUUCAGUGAGUGUUUUGUUUUCUCUUUGUCCUUGAUCUCGACGGCGUUGUCGUGCUCAUUACCUUACUGAGACGUCUCUUGUGACUGUAGCCAGUGUCACGGAGGAUUUUAUUGGCGUGACGAGGUAGAUCGCCGAGAUCGAGCGUGAAAAACGCUCUGCAUUAGUAGCUCCUGUAGAAUGUCUUCUGGGAUGGCGUAUCCAUGGUCAACAAAGCCAACGUGCAAGACAGCAUAAGAGAUCGUGUAAACGAUGUGAACUCCAAAAGAUAAUCUGGACAAAUAAAUUAUAUUGUAACUGGAGAGUGCAAUCGUGCUUGGGACCCAUCCCAAUGUCAUCACAUGGCUGUGGUGACUAGUGUAUACCUGGGAGAGUUUUUCCUCAACUGAGACGGAGUGAAGGUGGAUGGAUUAUGAGAAAUGCGAAGAUGUGGAGUUCAAGGCUAGAUGCACUUCACAUUCGGCGUGGGAUCUCGGCGUCUGGGACCUGAUAACGUCUUGGUUGGAUGGGUAAUCAAGGAUGAUACUACUCGGCACACCAAUGUACAUGUCAAUGUAGUUUUUACUUUUUGAGAGGUGCACUAUUUACGUCUUGAUGCUUACUUCGGUGCUAGUGUCGUGUCCGUGUGUUGCUACAAUGUCAUUAUCUGUAUUGUAUUCCGUCUGCUUAUACAUGUGUCUUUAUGAAGUGUUUGCCGUGGCGGCGAUGUGUCUUGUCGAUCAAUAGUGUUGUGAAACCUAUCACUAUUCAUGCUUUGCUGGCUACUCGCUCGCUCCGCGCCGUGCACGCUACUAGGUCUUGUAGUAUAUAGCUCGAUGCUUUGCAUCGAUCGCUGGUUGUUGUUGUUGUUGUUGCUUCUCUGUUG